rnacentral:rRNA from 1 species
GAUGAACGCUGGCGGCGUGCCUAAUACAUGCAAGUCGAGCGAACAGACGAGGAGCUUGCUCCUCUGACGUUAGCGCCGGACGGGUGAGUAACUUGUGGAUAACCUAACUAUACGACUGGGAUAAUUUCGCGAAACCGGAUCUAAUACCGGAUAAUAUAUUGAACCUCAUGGUUCAAUAGUGGAAGACGGUUUUGCUUUCACUUAUAGAUGGAUCCGCGCCGCAUUAGCUAGUUGGUAAGGUAACGGCUUACCAAGGCAACGAUGCGUAGCCGACCUGAGAGGGAGAUCGGCCACACGGGAACUGAGACUCGGUCCAGACUCUUACGCGAGGCAGCAGUAGGGAAUCUUCCGCAAUGGGCGAAAGCCUGACGGAGCAACGCCGCGUGAGUGAUGAAGGUCUUCGGAUCGUAAAGCUCUGUUAUUAGGGAAGAACAAAUGUGUAAGUAACUAUGCACGUCUUGACGGUACCUAAUCAAAAAGCCACGGCUAACUCCGUG